AACGGACGCUGGCGGCAGGCCUAACACAUGCAAGUCGAACGCCCCGCAAGGGGAGUGGCAGACGGGUGAGUAACACGUGGGAACCUUCCCUAUACUACGGAAUAGCCCAGGGAAACUUGGAGUAAUACCGUAUACGCCCGAGAGGGGAAAGAUUUAUCGGUAUAGGAUGGGCCCGCGUAGGAUUAGCUAGUUGGUGAGGUAAUGGCUCACCAAGGCGACGAUCCUUAGCUGGUCUGAGAGGACGACCAGCCACACUGGGACUGAGACACGGCCCAGACUCCUACGGGAGGCAGCAGUGGGGAAUAUUGGACAAUGGGCGCAAGCCUGAUCCAGCCAUGCCGCGUGAGUGAUGAAGGCCUUAGGGUUGUAAAGCUCUUUUGCCGGGGACGAUAAUGACGGUACCCGGAGAAUGAGUCCCGGCUAACUUCGUGCCAGCAGCCGCCGUAAGAC
rnacentral:rRNA from 1 species